UACGUAGGGGGCAAGCGUUAUCCGGAUUUAUUGGGUUUAAAGGGUGCGUAGGCGGACUGUCAAGUCAGCGGUAAAAUGUCGGGGCUCAACCCCGGCCGGCCGUUGAAACUGGCGUGCUCGAGUUGGAGAGAAGUAUGCGGAAUUCGUGGUGUAGCGGUGAAAUGCAUAGAUAUCACGAAGAACCCCGAUUGCGAAGGCAGCAUACCGGCUCCACACUGACGCUGAGGCACGAAAGCGUGGGUAUCGAACAGG
rnacentral:rRNA from 1 species